GAAGAGCAACUUGUUGAAUGCUGUGUUAUUUCUUUGGAUAGAGCUUAAAGUUGUUCCGGAGUUCUAUUAGUCGAUAGAAAUCAUUUUCGUGCAGAUUUAAACAUCGUGCUAAUAUUAUAGGAGUGUAAAAUUACAUUUUAAGUCGGACAAGACGGUGUUUUGACUAGCUCUCCUUUGACUGACGCACUGACGUCAUUUGCCGAGGCUAUCCAAGAUCUGGCCUCAUCUCCGGUGACACAACACGGCGUUUCAGAGCAUCCAUCGCUAUCUAUUGAUUCAUCUAAACCGAUAUAAUAUGUCAUGUGAUUUCAAAUGCUUUAUGGCGUCUAAAAAUAAAAUUUACAAAACAA